GACAGAGGAUGCAAGUGUUAUCCGGAAUCACUGGGCGUAAAGCGUCUGUAGGUGGUUCGAAAAGUCCACUGUUAAAAAUUGAAGCUUAACUUCAAAGAUGCCGUGGAAACUUUCAAACUAGAGUGUGGUAGGGGUAGAGGGAAUUUCCAGUGGAGCGGUGAAAUGCGUAGAUAUUGGAAAGACCACCGAUGGCGAAGGCACUCUACUGGGCCAUUACUGACACUGAGAGACAAAAGCUAGGGGAGCAAAUGGG
rnacentral:rRNA from 1 species